UACGGAGGAUCCAAGCGUUAUCCGGAAUCAUUGGGUUUAAAGGGUCCGUAGGCGGUUUUGUAAGUCAGUGGUGAAAUCUGGUCGCUCAACGAUCAAACGGCCAUUGAUACUGCAAGACUUGAAUUAUUGGGAAGUAACUAGAAUAUGUAGUGUAGCGGUGAAAUGCUUAGAUAUUACAUGGAAUACCAAUUGCGAAGGCAGGUUACUAUCAAUAUAUUGACGCUGAGGUGCGAAAGCGUGGGGAGCAAACAGG
rnacentral:rRNA from 1 species